rnacentral:rRNA from 1 species
GUCCGCACAGUAAACGAUGAAUACUUGCUUUUGGCGAUAUACAGUCGGAGGCAAAGCGAAAGCGAUAAGUAUUCCACCUGGGGAGUACGCCGGCAACGGUGAAACUCAAAGGAAUUGACGGGGGCCCCGCACAAGCGGAGGAACAUGUGGUUUAAUUCGAUGCUACGCGAGGAACCUUACCCGGGCUUGAAAGUUAGUGAAUGUUGAGGAAACUUGACAGACCCGCAAGGGACACGAAACUAGGUGCUGCAUGGUUGUCGU